rnacentral:rRNA from 1 species
GACGUAGGGCGCAAGCGUUGUCCGGAAUUAUUGGGCGUAAAGAGCUCGUAGGCGGCCUGUUGCGUCCGCUGUGAAAUCCCGGGGCUUAACCCCGGGCGUGCAGUGGAUACGGGCGAGGCUGGAGGCAGGCAGGGGAGAACGGGAAAUUCCCGGGUGUAGCGGUGAAAUGCGCAGAUAUCGGGAGGAACACCGGUGGCGAAGGCGGUUCUCUGGGCCUGUACUGACGCUGAGGAGCGAAAGCGUGGG